rnacentral:rRNA from 1 species
UGGAUCCAGACUUUGAUUAUGGCUCAGGACGAACGCUGGCGGCGCGCCUAACACAUGCAAGUCGAACGAGAGAGAAGAAGCUUGCUUCUUUGAUCGAGUGGCGAACGGGUGAGUAACGCGUGAGGAACCUGCCUCAAAGAGGGGGAAAACAGUUGGAAACGACUGCUAAUACCGCAUAAGCCCACGGGUCGGCAUCGACCAGAGGGAAAAGGAGCAAUCCGCUUUGAGAUGGCCUCGCGUCCGAUUAGCUAGUUGGUGAGGUAACGGCCCACCAAGGCGACGAUCGGUAGCCGGACUGAGAGGUUGAACGGCCACAUUGGGACUGAGACACGGCCCAGACUCCUACGGGAGGCAGCAGUGGGGAAUAUUGCACAAUGGGGGAAACCCUGAUGCAGCGACGCCGCGUGGAGGAAGAAGGUCUUCGGAUUGUAAACUCCUGUUGUUGAGGAAGAUAAUGACGGUACUCAACAAGGAAGUGACGGCUAACUACGUGCCAGCAGCCGCGGUAAAACGUAGGUCACAAGCGUUGUCCGGAAUUACUGGGUGUAAAGGGAGCGCAGGCGGGAAGACAAGUUGGAAGUGAAAUCCAUGGGCUCAACCCAUGAACCGCUUUCAAAACUGUUUUUCUUGAGUAGUGCAGAGGUAGGCGGAAUUCCCGGUGUAGCGGUGGAAUGCGUAGAUAUCGGGAGGAACACCAGUGGCGAAGGCGGCCUACUGGGCACCAACUGACGCUGAGGCUCGAAAGUGUGAGUAGCAAACAGGAUUAGAUACCCUGGUAGUCCACACCGUAAACGAUGAUUACUAGGUGUUGGAGGAUUGACCCCUUCAGUGCCGCAGUUAACACAAUAAGUUAUCCACCUGGGGAGUACGACCGCAAGGUUGCAACUCAAAGGAAUUGACGGA